AUUGAACGCUGGCGGCAUGCCUUACACAUGCAAGUCGAACGGCAGCACGGGAGCAAUCCUGGUGGCGAGUGGCGAACGGGUGAGUAAUAUAUCGGAACGUGCCCAGUCGUGGGGGAUAACGCAGCGAAAGCUGUGCUAAUACCGCAUACGAUCUACGGAUGAAAGCGGGGGCUCGCAAGACCUCGCGCGAUUGGAGCGGCCGAUAUCAGAUUAGCUAGUUGGGGGGGUAAAGGCCCACCAAGGCGACGAUCUGUAGCUGGUCUGAGAGGACGACCAGCCACACUGGAACUGAGACACGGUCCAGACUCCUACGGGAGGCAGCAGUGGGGAAUUUUGGACAAUGGGCGCAAGCCUGAUCCAGCAAUGCCGCGUGCAGGAUGAAGGCCUUCGGGUUGUAAACUGCUUUUGUACGGAACGAAACGGCCCUUUCUAAUACAGGGGGCUAAUGACGGUACCGUAAGAAUAAGCACCGGCUAACUACGUGCCAGCCGCCGCGGUAA
rnacentral:rRNA from 1 species